UGACUCUGCUUUUUAUGCUCAUCAGCUUAGGGUGGGGGGCACUUUUUAGGUGCCAAAGAACAAGGUUUCCAGUUACUGAAUGUUUUGCAUGUUUUUCUUUUCUAAAUGCUUCUCCUAAGGCAGCCUACUGUUGUGCUUGUCGUGUCACUUGGGUGCCUCUAGACAUCUGUACACUUCUCCAGCUGCGUGGGAGACACACUUCACCUUGUGGCUCUUCCUUUCAAAGGCUGCAUGUGCUGCAUGGAAGAACAGUUGACUUUGCUGAUAGGGAACGUCUCAUUGCACCCCUUUUCCACACCAUCUGUCUGACCUGGACCCAUUCCAAACACUACGGCUUUGCUGGCAGAAUGGUCUUCCUGCUACAGAAGUUUUGUAAUCUGCUAAUUGACAGGGUGUGCUGAGGACAGAAAAAUCCUAAAGAUGGAAGUAUCGUUAAAAUCAUGCUGAUCCAGUUGACGUUUGUGGUUGCGCUCAUCUUAUAAUUGUGCUUUAAAACUCAAUGUAAGCAACCCCCACUGAAGUGAGUACAGUCACGCUUACUGAUCCAUACCUGAGUCCUUCAAGUGGCGUCCUCUGUGCAUGAAAGCUACAUGCACAAACUGAAGGCAGUGCAUGAGUGUGGUAUGACAUCUUAUCUCUGGAAUCCUGGGGCCCCUCUCUCAGUUGCAGCCCCUUCAACCUGCCCUUGAACAAUGAUCGGCAGAAAGAUGAGAAUGAAAGAGAAGAAAGAGAAUUUCUUCCAUACCUUUCAAAACUUCAAAGAAGUUGUCUCCAAUCUGGUUCUGAUGAUUCAUGUCUCAACGCAAAGCACAUAUAAAUAUCUGAAAUCUGCACACUGAUCGGAAAUAGUUUUUGGGAAGUUGGAUUUAAUCCCAUGAGCCAAAUGAUCACUACCAACAGUGAUCAGGGAAAACCAAAGUCCACAGCAAAUUUUAAUUUGGCAAAUGCAUAAAAUGUUCAAAAGAGCAGAGGUCUCAUUUACAUUCCUCCCUCUUAUAUGGGAUUUUCUUCUAUAUUAGUAAUUAAAGGGUGCAGGCUAUCGAGCGCAACUAUAUCACAUAAUAGCCAUCGGGGGCACACUAACAACUUCCUUGAAGUAACGCACACUAGGGUGUUUAUGGUUCAGUGUCACAUAGACUCUCUUUGAUCUAAAUUAGGAUUCAUUGGCAAACUCACAAUAGGCUCCACAUGUACCCCUCUCAACCUCUUUCUUUUAAUCAUGGAAAUUAAAGAUGGAAAAUACCCAUUAAG